rnacentral:rRNA from 1 species
AUGAGGAUCACCAAACAAUGCAACCUGCCACUUUCUUUGGGUAAGCAUUAUCGCUCAAAUGUGUUGUGUGAUGUGGUUGACAUGGAGGCGAGCCAUGUUCUUCUUGGGAGGCCUUGGCAAUUUGAUGUGGAUACUACACACAAGGCCAAGGCAAAUUCUUACUCUUUCAUUUGGAACAAGAGAAAGAUCAUUAUCCUACCAAACAAAACCGAAGGUAAUACCUCUAAGGAGGAGGGGAAAACUAUGUUAACUAUCUCCCAUACCUAUUAUGAGUUUACGGAAGACUUGAAGGAGGCAGAUUUGUGUGCUGCACUUGUUGUAAAGGGAGAAGAGCACCUGACUGUUGAAAUUCCAUCAAAGGUAUGUGGUUUAUUGGCAGAAUUUCAGAACAUACUUGGAGAGCCACAUGGCGUGCCACCGAUGAGAGGAAUUCAACAUAGAAUUGACUUAAUUCCGGGAGCAAGUCUUCCUAAUCUUCCACACCAUCGAAUGAGCCCAAAGGAGCAUGAUAUAUUGAAGGAUAAAGUAGAGGAAUUUUUGCAAAAGGGGCACAUUGGAGAAAGUAUUAGCCCAUGUGCUGUACCAGCCCUACUCGCGCCAAAGAAAGAUGCAUCUUGGUGCAUGUGUACGGACAGUAGAGCCGUUAACAAGAUCACCGCAAGGUAUAGAUUCCCUAUUCCCCAUCUAUUUGAUAUAUUGGAUCAGCUUAGUGGAGCAAGAGUGUUCACAAAGCUAGAUUUAAGAAGUGGAUAUCAUCAAAUCCGUAUAAGACCCGGGGAUGAAUGGAAAACCGCCUUCAAGACAAAGGAAGUGUUGUUUGAAUGGCUGGUCAUGCCAUUUGGACUCUCAAAUGCACCAAGUACCUUUAUGCACUUAAUGAAUCAAGUCCUUAGACCCUUCUUAUCCCACUUUGUUGUGGUCUAUCUCGAUGACAUCUUGAUCUAUAGCAAGGAUGAGGAUGAACACUUUGAUCACAUUCGAAAGGUGCUAGAAGUACUAAGGGAAAAUUAG